CGCCCCGCCCCAGAGGAGCGGCGGGCCCCGCCUCCGGCUCCGCCCGCUGCGCCGGGACGCCCCACAACCCCCCGCGGCCCCCGGACCGUUCAUUUGCAUACUGCGCGGCACGUCGCGGUCCGGUUCGGCCCGUGGCAGCGGUUCCGCGGCGCGGAAGAGGACAGAGGCAGUGGGCAGUGGUGGGGACACUGCAGGCCAGCUGGAAGCGGCGUCAGGCGGGGUCAGGCGUUACUCGCCCUGACCUUUGGAGUUAGUGCAGAGCAAUCUCCCAGCGGCGCGGCGAGCUGUACGUCAUGCCUUAAACUUAUGAGUAAGGAAAAUAACGACCCGGGGUGACGCCCGGGUCCUCACUCCGAAUGUGAGAGGAAUUUUUGCGCGGGUACAGGUCGCCCCUGGGUGCCCCGCUUACUUCGCGGGAUGCCCGGGUGCCGUGAUCUGCCCGUCCCUCCGUGCCGCCCGUGCUAAGGACAGAAGAGCCGGCGCCGGGAGGCGGCGCGCUGCUCCGCUGAGCCGCGGCGGGGCGGCACGGCGCCGCGUACCGGAACUCCGACCGUUCCAAAGGUCAGGAAUAUUCCGACCUGUGUUUCUCUUCGGCUCUGUUCGCUGAGUUGGCCGUAAGGGUCUUCACGACGCUUAGAAAUAAAUCACCAAACCUGCCUAAGAAAUGCUUCAUGUGUCUGCAGGAAGCAAUUCCUUUUCUGUUCUUCUGAGGGAGCAAUGACACCGUUUAAAAUCAAGCUAAGAAUGAAAGGGAAAUGGUGCCAACUCGAGCAGCAGCAUGAGCUGCACGGCUGUGGCUCUGGGCCUCACUGCGGGCUGCGGUGCUGUUGGGGGCUCCCUCAAAAAACCUUUUUGCAGCAUAUUACAGCCACAGUCUCUCCAAAAUGCAGUUCUGCUUCCACCCGCAGCUCUGUGACAAGGUCCAUUUGUGACCCCUUUGCACCCCCGCUGUUCCCCUUCUGCCGCGUCCCCAGCACUGCAUCCUGACCUGCAGUAACCCUGAGGCAUUGCCGUGUGAGCUGCAGCACCCAUCGUGCUGCUGUGGAGCUGGCGGCCCAAGCACAUUCCAUGUGAAAUGCAAGGGAAAACUCCUGGCGGACUUCAAGAGUUUGGGAGCUGCCAGGGAGGGUGAGGAAUGCAGAGGAGACUUGUGCAGCUGAGGUGGCUGCUCGCAGCCACACAGGCUCAGUCUCCCACAGCACUGAUUUCCUCUCAAGAAGCCUUUGUGAGCCUGAAGUCAUACCAGUGGUGAUGCCAGGUUCCUGCUUGGUUGUGCACUGGUGCUUGCUCCAGCUCCAGGGUGGCACAUGUCUGAGGUGUAUAAAUGAAGGUACACAAAAUACAGCCCUUUUUGUGCGGCCUUUCUGCAGCUGCUGAGCUUGAUCAAACUGAGGCGAUAGGAGGCAGAUUCCUUGAGCGUGUCUCCUCCAUCUGCUGAGACCCCACGACAGGGAAGUCUGAAGGAGCUGGAGGAGAGGAGACCAUUUUCCCAUCUCACACCAAUUUCCUGUUAAAAUAUUUCUUAGGAAAUUAUGCAAAGGGCAUCUGGACAUCAUAUUAGCCUUGGGAUGGUAUGUGGUAAACUAUCUGCUUUAAAAUAUUGCCUCAACCUCAAACAUCAGAACUGGGAAAAGAAGUUGUGUUGGACCAUGGGCAAGAUGUUGUCCUUUGCACCAGGAGAUGCGAGAGUCUGGCAGUAGGGGAAUUUGAUGCACAGAGACACUGUACAGUGGCAGUCAGUGGAUCUUUGUUGCUAAUGGAGAAAGUAUCUGGUUUGUAGUGAGAGGUUAAAAAUCCUCUGAUUAUAGCAGUUUGUUCACUGUUUCAGGACUACUGCACCCUAGGUCUUUUAGUCUUCUGAAGACUUUAAAAUCAGUGUUUGAAAUAUAAGGUCUUGCAACAUGAGUAUUUUAGCCUAGCAAAAAUGAUGCUAAGGGGAGAAAAAAUAAAGGAAAGGACACACAUGAGGAGAGGCAGAAGUGAUGAGCUUCAGAGAUAAAACUGAUGCACAGCAUAGGACCAGCAGACCCAGGGACCUACAAAAUAAACUUAGACUAAAAUUUUUCUAAGCAGGUAACAAAUAGAGCAUGGCAGUUUGCCAUAUGUGUAGUAUUGUAUCUGCAUAAUCACAUGGCAUUUGGCUUAGGGUCAUGCUGAAACUUCUGCUUACAUGUACUGGACAACAGCCCUGUCAUUUAUCUUCUACAGCCUGGAAAAGUGAAAUAUUAAUGCAAUGCUCAUCUGAAUCUGCAAUAUUAAAAAAGGUAUGAAAAAAGAGAAAGUAAUUCUUUCUUUUUGUGAAAGUUGUAGGAAAUACGGUACAUAUGCAAUUUUUACUUUGCAUGUUCUAUUCCAUAAUGUAUAUUUCUAAUAAAGGUCUUUUACAGUCAGUUUCUCAGAAUA